UGAACUUUUGCUUACAGGGUCAAGGAAGGCUGUGCCUUUCUGAAGUGUGAAAUCUGUUAGUUGCAAGUCAUGCAAAUAGGACUGAGAUGAGCGUGGGGAUUGGUGGAAUGGCUGCUGACAUCACAAAGACUCUGGUGACACUCUAAAGCUAGGAAAGACAGUGAUAUUUCUGCAUACAGUUUCAAAGAGAAACAAUACUGGCUGAAGACUUGCAGGACCGCCAACUGCUAUCAGAUACUUUCACCUCUCAGUUUCUCUUCAGCGAUGCCAACAAAUCAAUUCAGAAGGAAAAGGAAGAGUCCCAGAUGAAAUGAUAGAAGAUUGUGCAAAACAGGCUGGAAGUGCCAAACACAGACCUGAGGUACAAUUGCUGUUUCUAACAUCAGAAUUACCUGGUUAAAAUUCAGCUGCUCUGUGAAGCAACUAAAUCUGCUCAACACCAUCUGGCAGCUACGAAGUGGGGGGCAGGGUGAUCUACUUUCUGCACAGGUAUAAUUAACUGAUAUUUCACUAGCAGAAUGCAGUAGAGACAUGAAAUACACAUCCCAUUUAAAGCACUGACAUUCUGUGACAUAACUAUAUGAGACCUUCAGUGUUUCAGUUUUAAUAUUUCUGAAGGCUUUGAUUUCAUUAGUGUAGCCAGAGAAAGUGGUAGAAGGGGCAGCCUGUCAUGUCUACAAUAAAGUCUAUUAAAUAUAAA